UUAAAUGUAUCAUUUUUAUCAUGACGUAUUUAUUUUUUUUUAAAUACUUGAGAGUAUACCCAGUCUACCCACGAUUGUUUAACAAAAUGUUGAGAUUAUACAGCACGUAUAAUGUAGUACGCCCCAUGGGAACGCCACUGGGCAGACUAUAAUUUGUUUUUUUCAAAGUUAUUUACUAUAGGUAUCUACUGUACAUUGAAUUACAAUAUGAUGGCGUGCAAACGACGGGGAAGUUUUUCGCUGGA